GUAGGUGGCAAGCGUUAUCCGGAAUUAUUGGGCGUAAAGCGCGCGUAGGCGGUUUUUUAAGUCUGAUGUGAAAGCCCACGGCUCAACCUUGGAGGGUCAUUGGAAACUGGAAAACUUGAGUGCAGAAGAGGAAAGUGGAAUUCCAUGUGUAGCGGUGAAAUGCGCAGAGAUAUGGAGGAACACCAGUGGCGAAGGCGACUUUCUGGUCUGUAACUGACGCUGAUGUGCGAAAGCGUGGGGAUCAAACAGGAUUAGAUACCCUGGUAGUCCACGCCGUAAACGAUGAGUGCUAAGUGUUAGGGGGGUUUUCCGCCCCCCUUAGUGCUGCAGCUAACGCAUUAAGCACUCCGCCUGGGAGUACGACCGCAAGGUUG
rnacentral:rRNA from 1 species